GAUGAACGCUGGCGGCGUGCCUAAUACAUGCAAGUCGAGCGAACAGACGAGGAGCUUGCUCCUCUGACGUUAGCGGCGGACGGGUGAGUAACACGUGGAUAACCUACCUAUCAGACUGGGAUAAAUUCGGGAAACCGGAGCUAAUACCAGAUAAUAUAUUGAACCGCAUGGUUCAAUAGUGAAAGACGGUUUUGCUGUCACUUAUAGAUGGAUCCGCGCCGCAUUAGCUAGUUGGUAAGGUAACGGCUUACCAAGGCGACGAUGCGUAGCCGACCUGAGAGGGUGAUCGGCCACACUGGAACUGAGACACGGUCCAGACUCCUACGGGAGGCAGCAGUAGGGAAUCUUCCGCAAUGGGCGAAAGCCUGACGGAGCAACGCCGCGUGAGUGAUGAAGGUCUUCGGAUCGUAAAACUCUGUUAUUAGGGAAGAACAAAUGUGUAAGUAACUAUGCACGUCUUGACGGUACCUAAUCAGAAAGCCACGGCUAACUACGUG
rnacentral:rRNA from 1 species